rnacentral:rRNA from 1 species
AGAACGAACGCUGGCGGCAGGCUUAACACAUGCAAGUCGAACGGUUGUAGCAAUACAGCAGUGGCAGACGGGUGAGUAACACGUGGGAACCUUCCUAGGGGUACGGAACAACUCAGGGGAAACUUGAGCUAAUACCGUAUACGUCCGUGAGGAGAAAGUUUUAACGCCCCUAGACGGGCCCGCGUAGGAUUAGGUAGUUGGUGAGGUAACGGCUCACCAAGCCUACGAUCCUUAGCUGAUCUGAGAGGAUGAUCAGCCACACUGGGACUGAGACACGGCCCAGACUCCGUACGGGAGGCAGCAGUGGGGAAUCUUGGACAAUGGGCGCAAGCCUG